ensembl:lncRNA
GCCAGGGCUGUGUUGCCAGGCAACAAUAAGAUUGCCAUGAGUUAAUGCAAAUCCUGCAUGCUUGCAGCCCACUUUCACUACGUGGGUCAGGCAGAGAAGGAGCCGACUAUGACAUUAAGUGGCAUCUUUGCUUCCCAGCGAGCCCUGAGGAAUGGAUGGAUGCUACAAGCACAGACAGGGCAGAGCCAGAGUCCCAGCUGUGCCUUGACUCGCCUCAUGUCUGGGCUCCUGCAGGAUGAUGUGUGUCCAUCCGUCCAACCUCUCCGCAUCACUUCUCCCCAGCAGCAGAGAUGCACUCACGUGGCUGGGACUGCGCUGUGCACAGCUGGGACAGCUGGGACAUGGUGAUACUGCCACGACGUGGGGACACGGCAACCCACCCCCCAGACAUGGAGCUGGGGACUGCCGGGGGGACAGCCCAGCAGGGUGUGGGGCAGGUGGGCUCAGAGACCUGCAGGGAGGAGAAGAGCCCAUGCGCUCCUGGUUAUGUGCGUCUGGGCUCACGCUUUCAGCCCUGCUGGCUGCCAGGGAAUCUUGAAGACAGGAGUGAUGAAUACUGAACCCCCCAGAGAGGAAAAAAAAUCCUUUCCUGAAUGUAUUAUUGACAAAGGCUUCUUUCUUCUUCCUUCCUCCUCUCCUCUCCUCUCCUCUCCUCUCCUCUCCUCUCCUC